rnacentral:lncRNA from 1 species
UGGGUUUAAAGGCAAUGGUUGAAAAGCAUCGACAUGCAUCCAAUUUCUCAAUGCUUUUUGUAGACCCAAUCAAUUGAUUGAAUCCAGUUUUACGUGUUGCUAAGGAUCGAAGUGCCUUUGAGGUCGACAGGAAUGGCGGCAUUGUCAAUAACCAGGAAAAAUUGGGGGGAUUUUAACCUAAUCGAAUGGGAAUUAGGGAUUGGGAUUCGAAAUUGAAAGAUUGUGAAAA